GAGAUUCGAAAUGAGUGUUUCAGAUGCCACAUUUUACAAAUGAUCGCAAGCAACCUGGCAAACACCACGCACCCAAGUAUCGUCGGUAACGUCGUCAAACAUGUUGAGCAUGCGAUAGGAGCUGGUGUUGCGAUUCCGUCCGCGAGGUGGCUCUACCUCAAGUGAUCUGCGAGAAUCAAAAACGCGGCAAGACUACACGCCUGUAUUUCUGUAGUAUUUUUCAGUCCCAUGUUUAGGGUGAUACGUCGCAUUUUUAGCAGUAUUGUGAACUGGGAGUUUACGAAACUGGCAGUAAUGACUGAUCCUGUAUUUCCUACAACGCUGAAAGAUUUUGGAUACGCUUUUGAUGAAGGCGGGAAACUUCGAAAGCUUGAUCAAAGCACCGGCCUCACUACUGACGGUGGAUUCGAGUUUAACGUUACCGAAGACCAUGCUUACAAUCAGAAACGAUACGAAGCGCUCGGUCAGGUAAUUGAUUUGCACAUCUAUGACCUCCUAGAGAAAGAAGGUCUGAAAAAAUUGUUCGUGCCGAAGGAGGCGUCGUCAAAGGCACCGGAGCUAAAGUCGUUCAUAUUCGUUAGCGAAGACGCAUUGCUGAACGACAAGCUUAUGAUAUUGAUACAUGGCAGCGGAGUUGUAAGAGCCGGUCAAUGGGCAAGGCGAUUAAUUAUAAACGACAAUCUAGAGACCGGCACGCAGUUGCCUUACAUAAGAAAAGCACGAGAGCUUGGAUACGCGGUAAUGGUUCUCAACACAAACGACAAUUUCCGUACCGUAAACGGAAAGCCGACUGAAAUACCGGGUAGCAAGGAUCCUCAUAGUCACGUCGAAACCGUCUGGAAGCAGUACAUCGAGCCCUCGAAUGCGAAGCACGUAGCAAUCGUUGCGCACAGCUACGGUGGCGUUUGCGUCGUUAAAUUGGCGGUAGACCAUGCGGAAGAAUUUCGACGCAGAGUAUUUGCUGUCGGGCUAACCGACUCUGUGCACAUGAUUACUUCAGCAAAAGACACAAAACACAUUUUGAAGGUGGCGCGAAAUUGGGUAUCCUCAGAGAAGCCCCUGGACACCCCGGAGCGAUCGCCUGACGGUGACAUCGAACGGUGUUCUGCGGGACAUGCGAUCCACGAGAUGACGUCGUACUCCUGCAUGGAGUCCCUUUUCCAAUUCGUAGAGGAGAGGUUCAACGAGGCGAGAGGAAAAUCCGAUCUCUAAACGAUUCCGAAUCUCCAGUUUUCGAUUUUGUCUUCAUAUUUUUUUUUUUUUUUACACUAUAAUGUGCGUAUUUUGUAUAGCAAUAAUCGUGAUAUCAAUUUACCCACGUGUGUGCGUGUGUGAUUUUGAUAUGCAUCCCGAUUAUACUUAUAAAUUAAUCGCUUUUCAAGAUACCUGCACAUUUGAUAUUCCUUUUUUUUUUUUUAUCAUCACUACCGACAGACGAGGGGAUGCAGGGAAAUAUCAACUGUGUACCUCAACGGUAGAACUUGGCGGACACAAAACAGUCCUGCCAUCGUGCAAGCGUCAAAGCGUAAUUUCGUUAUGGGGUUGUAAUUGUAUUACCGGCGUUCUCGGCCGGCGGCACAAAUUAUAGUGUCAAUGUAACGACAAAGGGCAUGAUGUUACACAAUAAUAAAAUGAUUGCCUUAGCCGGUGAGGAUAACCUUCCGAAAAACUGACGCACCCUGCUCGUUAUUACUUAUACGUGAAUAUACGCAUCUGCCCUGCGAGGAUUUAAUUAUCUAUGUAAAAACUAUUACGUACAUGCAAUAUUUAUCUGUAUAUGGGAUCGAAAUUUUUCAUCAAAUCGUUUUUAAAUCAUCGGCGAUAACGAAGGAAGGAAAAUUUAUAACUGAAAUUGAAAGGAGAUAAAAUCUUUUACCGCAUCCCGACAAAUAUAGUAAUUUUCAAGAAUCGCAAUGAAAAUACAAAUCUGAUA
rnacentral:misc_RNA from 1 species